GGUGGGAGCGGGCUUGCUCGCGAUAGCAUCGAUACGGUUUUCCAGUUAGACCGAGUUGAUUCAAUCGCGAGCAAGCCCGCUCCCACA
rnacentral:misc_RNA from 1 species